AAUAAGAGCGGCGCCUAAGAAGAUUUGGGCAAGACCGGCGGAAGGAACAGCAGCAAUACCAGCCAUUCCAGUUGGG
rnacentral:rRNA from 14 species